rnacentral:rRNA from 1 species
AUUGAACGCUGGCGGCAUGCCUUACACAUGCAAGUCGAACGGCAGCACGGGGCAACCUGGUGGCGAGUGGCGAACGGGUGAGUAAUGCAUCGGAACGUACCUUUCAGUGGGGGAUAACGUAGCGAAAGUUACGCUAAUACCGCAUAUUCUGUGAGCAGGAAAGCAGGGGAUCGCAAGACCUUGCGCUGAUUGAGCGGCCGAUGUCGGAUGAGCUAGUUGGCGGGGUAACGGCCCACCAAGGCGACGAUCCGUAGCUGGUCUGAGAGGGUGAUCAGCCACACUGGAACUGAGAGACGGUCCAGACUCCGACGGGAGGCAGCAGUACGGAAUAUUGGACAAUGGGCGCAAGCCUGAUUCAGCCAUGCCGCGUGAGUGAAGAAGGCCUUCGGGUUGUAAAGCUCUUUUGUCCGGGAAGAAAUCGCACGGGCUAAUACCCUGUGUGGAUGACGGUACCGGGAUAAGAAGCACCGGCUAACUACGUGCCAGCCGCCGCCGUAACAC